CUGGUCCCUAAUUAUAAAUUGAGCGCGAGCGAGUAAUUAAAAACGCCUCUUUUCUUUGUUCUUCUGAAAUUAAAAACCCUAUUUUCAUUUUCUUCAGAAAUUAAACCGACGGUUUCUCUAGAUCUGCUGAGAAUCAUUAUCCGGCGAUGGAGACGGCGACGGCGGCUCUCCGAGUAAAAUUCCUAAACUAAACAAUCGUCUCUCAGAGGCCGGACAAUCAUUAUCCGGCAAAAUCGAAAACCAAAUGAUAAACUCUGCUUCUUGUGGCUAAGCACUUGUUACUUCUUGCGGGCUCAACACACCUAGUUCCUUGAAGAAUCUCCCUUGUAUUUCAGGUUAUGGCACCUAAUAAGAGACGGAAGCAACUUGUUGAUAAUGGACUUGAUGAAGCCUACUUAAUCGGGAUGCAAAAGUUUUUGGAUUAUGCUUUUGGAAGAACAGAAGAACUAUAUGAAAUACGAUGUCCAUGUGUCAAAUGUUGUUACACAACUUUAGGAACACGUGAAACAAUUGAGUCACAUUUGAAGGUAUAUGGAAUAAUUCAAAAUUAUACUUUAGGGGUGUCUGGAAAUGAUUCACCAGGUGCUAUAGGGGAGGGACGAGGCCAAGAGCAAGAGGUUAGACCUAAGUGCUCUUUAGGGGUAUCUGCAAAUGAUGUGGGAUCCUUCUGUCAAAAUUCUCUUUGCUCUGGUCAAAGUAUGCCAACACCCUCUGAUAGUACAAGUUCAGAUGCUACCAUAUCUGAUUAUUCUGGUGAAAGUACGCCAUCUCAUUCUGAUGGUACAAGUUCAGAUCCUACCACAUCUGUUGGUCAAGGAAUGCGAAGAAGAAAUAAAAACACCUUGGUUCAUGACAAAGAUCAAAUGCAAAUUGAUAUUCCAUUGCCUCCAUCUACCGAUCAAACUAUGCAAGACACCCAAAUUGUUGAAACAAGUUCAUGUACUACUAGAAAGGUAAGAAGAGGUCGAGGGCGGAACAAGUGCCAAGAAGUUGAAUCACUUCAAGCUGGACAGAAGUUGAAAGUAACAUUUUAUAAUAAUCGAACUGUUGGAAAGAAUAGCAAUCUAUUUUCCAGGCACUUGGGAAAAUUAGUCCGUGACCAUAGCAUGUGUCCGUUAGGAGUAUCAUCGUGGGAUGACAUUAAGGAAGAAAAGUUAAAUCACAUGUGGGCAGCUGUUGAGGAUAAAUUUGAGGGUGAUGAUAUGGAUACUCAUCGCGGUCACAUUUUGGGAUGGAUGAAAGAAUUAUGGAACAAAUGGAGAGGACAAUUACAUGCAAAGUAUGUGAAAGGUAAGCCAGUCCAAGAGGCUCUUAAGAAUACACCAAAGGGCGUAGACAAGAAACAAUGGGAGUGGUUGGUAAAAGAACAUUUUUCUUCAGAAACUUUCCAGGCUAGAAGCAACAGGAACUCGGCAAACAGAGCUAAGUUGAAGAUGCCUCAUCAUACCGGUAGCAAGCCUAUUAGAGAGAUUAUUUAUCAAAAGGGCGGGAAAAAUGGCAACCCACCAGAUUUAGCAACUAUUUUCUUUGAGACUCGCAAGAAGGACAACAUGCUUGUCGAAUCUGAGGCAGUUGAAAAACAUGCUCAACUCCAAGAAUUGGUGCAGUCUGAACCAUCUCUUCCUAACAUAGAGAUAGUGGAAAAAUGCUUUGGACCUCAAAUUCGUAGCCAUGUAUUUGGCUUUGGGGGUGGAGUAAAAGCGAAAGACUUGAAAGGUUCCGCUUCCUCAAAGGCUGAAUUACUAUCUGAGUUACGCUCAAUUAAAGAGGAAAACCAAUCUUUGAAAGGUGGUGCUUCCUCAAAGGUUGAAUUACUUUCUGAGCUUCAUUCAACUAAAGAGGACAACCGAUCUUUGAUGGAUCGGUUGUCUGCUGUAGAAAAUGAGGUGAAAGAACUGAAGGAGCUAAAAAAAUUGUUUUUGGCUCGACACCCUAAUAUCCAACUUCCAACAUCAUCUAUUUCAGGAGAAUGACAAUUUGAUGAACAUACCAAGUUUGUUACAAAUUAGUAAUUUCCUUCUGGAAAUUAUUGUGGCUUGAUAUGGGAAAGGCGACAUACUAAAUGCAGAUUGCCUCUGACGGGAUUUGCAUGUUUGUGGCAACCUACCUGUUAGGUUUCUUCUUGCAGCAGAAACAGAAAGUAAGGCAAAGAUGAAGGAACAAAGAAGAUGAAGAUGAAGAAGAGAGAUGGAGAGCACAGAAGAUAUUUUUGAUAUUAGGGCUAAAAUGCCCUAAUCGCUUCACUGUACAAUUAUAGCUAUAUAUAUAUAGCUGGUUAGUGAGUUAACUGACUAACUAAUUGGUAGUUAGUUAGCUCUAACUACAAAUGGUAGGAAAUGACCAGACUGCCCCUGUUUCUAACUAAUCCUUCUAACUACUUUAACAAUCUUCUUUACAUCUUAACACUCCCCUUCAAGCUAGGAGGUGUAAAAAUGUUCAAAACUCCUAUCUUGGAUAGAAGAUACUCAUGUUGAACUCUAGGUAGCCUUUUUGUCAAUAUAUCAGCUGGUUGUUCUUGAGUUGGUAGGUAGUCGACUUUGAUCAUGCCUUGUUGCAAUCUUUCUCUAAUGAAGUGACAAUCUAUCUCUA